rnacentral:tRNA from 1 species
CCUUCGAUAGCUCAGCUGGUAGAGCGGAGGACUGUAGUGGCGCUGCCUGGCGGUUAUCCUUAGGUCGCUGGUUCGAUUCCGGCUCGAAGGA